UACGUAGGGUGCAAGCGUUGUCCGGAAUUAUUGGGCGUAAAGAGCUCGUAGGCGGUUCGUCGCGUCGGCUGUGAAAACCUGGGGCUCAACCCCGGGCCUGCAGCCGAUACGGGCGAACUAGAAUUCGGUAGGGGAGACUGGAAUUCCUGGUGUAGCGGUGAAAUGCGCAGAUAUCAGGAGGAACACCGGUGGCGAAGGCGGGUCUCUGGGCCGAUAUUGACGCUGAGGAGCGAAAGCGUGGGGAGCGAACAGG
rnacentral:rRNA from 1 species